rnacentral:lncRNA from 1 species
AUGGCUGCUGGUAAUUCUGCAAAUUAUGGUAGUUUGCAAUCAAAUAAUGAAUGUUUGUCCUCUGAAUAUGAGAAAGGUGCCGCCCAAGAGGUACACAUCGAUCCAGUGAGCAAUAGCAAACCCACUAAUGCUAAAAACACGGAGGAAGACAUGGAAUCAAGUCCCAGUGGCCCUGUGUUACAAGCCCAGGACCACGCCGAAGUUGUUGCAGCCAAUGCUGAAGAUCCACCCAUGAAGAUUAAAGUAGAACAAGAAGAGGAAGAUGAAUGUGUAGUUGUUGAUAUAGACGAGGUCGAGGAAGGAAAUCUGGCUUUUAUGUCUAACGUUACCAACGAAGGAGACUCGUCUGAGAGAGAGAAAAGUGCCGAAGGUGUGCAGUCGUUGUAGCAGAAGAGGUUAGUUUCUCGUUCAUAUAAUCUGCUCCACCUUAAAUGAUAUUGCAGUAUUGUUAUGUUGCCAGUAGAGGGUAUGGUUUAAUCGAGCGGCAGCCUCCCGGAAGUGACUAAAACUGCAAUUCAUCGACUGGCCGCUUGAGGCUGUCUGCAAGAGGGAGUCAGUCCCAUAGACUCCCCAUGUAAAAUGCCCAACUUCACUAGCUUGACACUGCCCACUAUGUGCUUCAAUUAUUUUUACUUUUUAUUAAUGCUCAAAAAUCAAGAAUAGUGCACAUAGAAUAAUACAACCAUCAACAUAAAGGCGGUAGACAAUAAUAACACAAAAUAAAGUAGAAACAAACACCAACAAUAAAAAAAGGACAAAAAAAAUCAAGAAAGGGGGUAGUUAAUACAUUACAUACCUAAAAGAAUAAAAUUGAAGACUUACAUAGUACAUUUAAAUAUAAGAAAAGCUUUUUUUGUUCUUUUGUAGAACUUGAUUAAUUGAAAGGUAUUGCUCAAUUUCUUUUAUAAAAACAAAGAGGUCUAGAGUUUGAAUAUUUGUAUCUGUGGAUGUGAAAUUUAGCAAGAAGCAAAAUCAGAUUCAGUACAUAAAAUUGUUUCUUUUUAGAUGGUUCAUACUCGAUAAAACCCAGUACUACGUCCUUCCAAAAUAGAAUACAUUCAUUGUAAAUGUUACUCCUAAUGAAACUUAAAACAUCUUGCCAAAAUUUCUUUGUAAAUGGACCGUUCCAAAAGAGAUGGACAACAGUUUCAACCGAGUCAUCACAAAAAGAGCAACUGGAGGAAAUAUCACUUUUGGAUUUUUUUUAAGUAAUGCUUUGCAGGAUAGAACUUAUGAAUUAUUUUGUAGGAAAUCUCCUUUACUUUGUUGGUUAGUAAACAAGUAUGAGGAAGCAUCCACACUUUUUUCCUGCAGAUGUUACCCACUGCAUUAUUCCAAUAAGCAGUCACAGCUGGCAGGGUAAUAAUAUUCUUCUGAAAUAAUGAACUAACUAUCCUAUUAUUAUUUUUGCCUGGAGAUGCAAAACAUAAUCUACCAACAAAAGUAUCAACCUAAUUAGGAGAAACCGGUGACAAAGGAUGGGUACCUCUCAGUAAAGCAACAACACCUGAUGGGAUAGACCCCAUAACUAUGGGAAAUUCUUUUGGAGAGACAGGAAUUGAAAGUGAAAUAAAAAUUCUUUAUAUGAAAAUAACAACCCUUGAGAGUUCAUUAACUGACUGAUCAACAGUAUGUUUUUAUCAAACCAAAAAAAUAUGGAUUUACUCUUGUAUAAAACAUUACGGUUAUUCCAAAUAAAAGAUCUGUGGGGUGAAAAGUUGUGCUUGAAUAUUAACGACCAAGCCAAGAGAACCUGCCUAUGGAAAGCACAUAAUAUAGCCAGUAGUUUAUAAAUCUUAUAGUUACACAUGAGAAGAAAAUCAAGUCCACCAAACUGAGACUUUCUAACUGUUUAAGCCAAUUGAUCUUGAAAGUGUAACUUUAAGACCCCCUUUAUCAUAUGUGUUGAUUACAACAGAUUUUCUAAUAUAAUGUAUUGAACGCUUCCAUAAAAAAAUUAAAGAGUAGCUGGUCAACACUUUUACCUAGUUUUGGGUCCAGAGGAACAGACUGAGCGACAUAAAUAAGCCUCGAAAGGCCUUCUGCUUUUGUAAGAAGUACCCUACCUCUCAAAGAUAGGUCCCUUUGUAGCCACUGGUUAAAUCUUUUCUGUGUUUUAUCAAUAAGGGGUUGAUAAUUAAGAUUACAUCUUUCUUUCUGAUCCUUAGCAAUAAGCACACCUAGAUAACAAUUUUUCUUUCCCUGGAAUAUUAUGGACAAAGGAUUUAUUACAGUCUUUAAUGGCAAAAAGUUCACACUUUUGAAUAUUUAAGUUUAAACCCGAGGCUUUAGAAAAUGAAUCAAUAACAUUUAUUGCAAGUGAAGUCUGUCUUUUAUCUUUAAGAAAAAGGGUUGUGUCGUCAGCAAGCUGACUGAUAAUUACCUCUCUUUCAGCAAUAGUUAGUCCUUUUAAACUACUGGCUUUUAUAUGAGAACAAAGAAUCUGAGCUGCAAGAAGAAAAAGGUAAGGGGAAAUAGGGCAGCCCUGCCGAAUGCCCCUUAAUAAUUCAAAACGACGAGUUGUUCCAUUUUUUUAAAUAACUGAACUACUACCAUUCAUAUAUAAAGUUUUAAUGGCAC